GGAGAGGUGUCUGAGUGGCCGAAAGAGCGCGGCCGGAAACCGCGUAGCUACCCACAAGGUGGCUCCCGGGUUCGAAUCCCGGCCUCUCCG
rnacentral:tRNA from 1 species